GGAAAUGGAAUAGGAGUGGGAAGGUGGCAGGGGCGAAUGGGGUCAAGAUACGGUAUGAUUUGCGUAAACAGUACGAAUCUUAACGUUUUCGGGGAAAGGGAUAGCAUCGGAGAUUUUUACAGCAGAGGGAGGAGAAAAAGAGAGAAGGAAAAUAAAGGUCGAUGGUGGUAGAGAAGAGGGGCAGCUUGUGCUGGCUUUUGGGUGGUCUCGUUUGACCCAACCCAUCCA
rnacentral:lncRNA from 1 species